GUUCUUGGUGACCCUCCGGAUUCGGCGCGCGUGCGGCCCGCCGCGAGUGAGGGUUUUCGUGGUUCACAUCCCGCGGCUCACGGGGGAGUGGGCAGCGCCAGGGGCGCCCGCCGCUGUGGCCCUCGUGCUGAUGCUACUGAGGAGCCAGCGUCUAGGGCAGCAGCCGCUUCCUAGAAGACCAGGUAGGAAAGGCCCUCGAAAAGUCCGGGGCGCAUUCGGCACUUGUUUUGUUUGGUGUGAUUUCGUAAACAGAUAAUUCGUCUCUAGCCCAGGCUAGGAGGAGGAGGAGAUAA
rnacentral:lncRNA from 1 species